rnacentral:rRNA from 1 species
GACGGGGGAUGCAAGCGUUGUCCGGAAUCACUGGGCGUAAAGCGUCUGUAGGUGGUGAUGCAAGUCACUGGUGCAAAACUCUGGCUCAACCGGAGGAAAGCCAGUGAAACUGCAUGACUAGAGUGUGGGAGAGGUGGAAGGAAUUCCCUGAGUAGCGGUGAAAUGCGUAGAUACAGGGAAGAACACCGGAGGCCAAAGCGUUCUACUGGACCACAACUGACGCUGAGAGGCGAAAGCUAGGGGAGCGAAUGGG